GUGUUUGCUUAGGCAGCACAUAUACUAAAAUUGAGAUUAGCAUGGGCCUCUCCGCAAGGAUGACAUGCAAAUUUGUGAAGUGUUCCGUAUUUUU
ensembl:snRNA U6 U6 spliceosomal RNA